rnacentral:rRNA from 1 species
CCUACGGGAGGCAGCAGUGGGGAAUAUUGCACAAUGGGGGAAACCCUGAUGCAGCAACGCCGCGUGAGCGAAGAAGGCCUUCGGGUCGUAAAGCUCUGUCCUAAGGGAAGAAGCAUGACGGUACCUUAGGAGGAAGCCCCGGCUAACUACGUGCCAGCAGCCGCGGUAAUACGUAGGGGGCGAGCGUUAUCCGGAAUCACUGGGCGUAAAGGGUGCGUAGGCGGCCGAUUAAGCCAGGGGUGAAAGGCUACGGCUCAACCGUAGUAAGCCCUUGGAACUGAUUGGCUUGGGUGCAGGAGAGGGGAUUGGAAUCCUUGGUUUAGCGGUAAAAUGGUUAGAAUUUGGGGGAAACACCGGGGGCGAAGGCACUCUUCUGGAUGGUAACGGCCGCGGGGGAAGGAAAGCGGGGGAGCAAACAGGAUUAGAUACCCCAGUAGUC